rnacentral:ncRNA from 1 species
AUAAGAAUUUAGGUGCUUUUUUAUAAGUGAAAAGGGAAUGUGGUUAAAAUCCACAGCAGCCCCCGCUACUGUAAAUGAUGACAAACCUUAAGAUUACCACUCUUUUAAAGGGGAAGGUUAAGGGGAGAAUGAAUCAAAAGCCAGGAGACCUGCCUAAUUUUUUA